UGACACACAAUAUUAUCUCUCUUUUAUUCACCCUGCCCCUUCACAUACAGUACCCUUUUAAGUGCAUUUCUUACUAUCUAUUCAAAAUAGACAGUAACAUACAACAACUGUCAUACAAUUUUCUUUAUUAAAAAUAAUUUACAACAUUGGUAACAUUGUAUGCACAAUUUUCAUCAAUUGAACUUAAGAUAUAUCUAUGCAAUACUUACUGAACUUAAAACAGACUGUUCUGUUGGCUUUAAACAGCAGACAAUGAUUUGCAGUUGCUUAAUAGGAUUAAUAUACAUAGCUUCUUGUCCUUAUACUUAGGUGUAAAAUGUAUAAACAUCAACACUAUCCCAAAGCUUUGUAGUUUGGGAUGGGGAGGAAGAGGGAAGCAAGAGGAGAAAACAUUUACAAAAAUUUCAACAAGAUUCUCCCCCCAAAUCCAAAUGGAGAGAGGUCUAGGUUAAAUACAUCUAACACACUGAGUCACUUCUCAAACAGGUACACGUCCUCCUACACUUCAGGAUACUAAAGAGAGGUCUAAGUGAACGCUUGGUGUGUGAGCACAGCAAUCCUGACUGUCCCAGGCCCUGCCAGAGGGCUCCUGCCUCUCCUGCCCAGCUCUGGCCCUCAUGGUCCCAGCAGUGUGCCCAGAGUUAAACGUCCUCGUUGGCUGCUGGCCCCCUGAGCUGCACUCGGCACAGCUCACAACUUCUCUCCCGUGGACUACAAGACAUCAGUGCAGCAGAGUCAAAGCAGCUGCUAAGGUCAUGAAGCCCCAUUUCUCUAAAAGGAACUGACCUGCUUUACUGGUGACAACUUGCAGGGAAGUCACAUGCUCUGAAACUGUACUUCACCUCAUCAAUCUGCCUUGACAUGGCUUGGAUUCCUGUCUCCUGAAGCAUGGAGAAAGGGCAGGGGGCUGUGUUUCCUUCAAGCAUUAGUAAAUAGGCAUGGAGUUGCAGUUGUAUUAUCUGCAUGAGGCACCAUUAUGUACCAGCACUAAAUUUCCAUUUUCCCCCCAGUAACAUUUCCUUGAACUAAAUCAAGAAUAUACCUUUGAGCUGGGAUAAAAUAGCAUUAGACACUGUUGUACAAGAAGUAGGAUCUGCCCAGUCACUCUGGAUAGAAUUAGUGGAAGUGUACCACAGAACAGGAACUCGUUCAGCAUUCAGUUGAAUUGAAUAUUCAUUGAUUUAUCCCCCCUUAGGAGUGGUAGGAGUCACCGGAAUGGUUCUCAUCUUACCUAAAAGAAAAUCACAUCAAACUAGUGAAAUAUAAAAACAGAUUAAACAGAACUUCAAACUUUAGUGAACUUUGUCUAACAAAACAGAAAAAUAAGUAUUAAAUUUAUGUCAAUCAAGUUUGGCUUUUGAACUGUCAAAAAAUUAAUACACUGUAUUGAUAUAAUUAUGCAAAAGGUUUGGGGUAUUUUGGGUUCGGGGCUUUUUUUAAAGGAAUGUCAAACAUACUAUUUAAAGAUUUGAACAGUUCAUCUCUUAGUUCCCAUAUCAACUAUUUCAGUAUCUGGUUAUAAAUUAAAAGUACAUGUAAAUAAAGCUAAUAUAGUCCUCUUGAAUGUUUUGAUA
ensembl:lncRNA